AAUACAAGCUUUUGGAAUUUGAGCACUGGAUGAUGGAGAAACACGAUGCUCUUUUCCUGUGAUUACCAACAUUUUUGCAAUAAAAGUAUCAGGAACUCGAGGUCGUCUGCUAUGGUAGAAGGAAGAAGAUGAUGCAUGACGAUACAAAUCCGUGAAGGUGUGAAAAGGGAGUGAGCUUGUCACAAAUCCGUCUGCUGGAGGAUCUUUCAACCUCCAAAUCAUGAGGAGAAGACUAGAAACAUGGUUGGUUGAUCAAGCUAUCAGUUUUCAACUGGCAGAAACCACAUACAAAAAACGACAGCACAAGAUUCAUCGUUCCAGCAGAACAGACCCAUAAAGUUGUAACAAUUUCCAGAAAUUU